rnacentral:rRNA from 1 species
UAGCGCGUGAGGAACCUGCCUCAAAGAGGGGGACAACAGUUGGAAACGACUGCUAAUACCGCAUAAGCCCACGGCUCGGCAUCGAGCAGAGGGAAAAGGAGUGAUCCACUUUGAGAUGGCCUCGCGUCCGAUUAGCUAGUUGGUGAGGUAACGGCCCACCAAGGCGACGAUCGGUAGCCGGACUGAGAGGUUGAACGGCCACAUUGGGACUGAGACACGGCCCAG